GCAGGGUCUGUGAAUGAUUUGUG
rnacentral:siRNA from 1 species